UACGUAGGGGGCAAGCGUUGUUCGGAAUUACUGGGCGUAAAGGGCGCGUAGGCGGUCUGCUAAGUUGGAUGUGAAAAACUCUGGGCUUAACCCAGAGCCUGCAUUCAAUACUGACAGGCUAGAGUUCUGGGAGGGAUAGCGGAAUUCCGGGUGUAGCGGUGGAAUGCGUAGAGAGUCCGGAAGAACGACCGGUGGCGAAGGCGGCCUGCUGGGCAGUUGCUGACACUGAGGGCGCGACAGCGUGGGGAGCAAACAGG
rnacentral:rRNA from 1 species